GUAGGUGGCAAGCGUUGUCCGGAAUUAUUGGGCGUAAAGCGCGCGCAGGCGGUUCUUUAAGUCUGAUGUGAAAGCCCGCGGGCUCAACCGUGGAGGGUCAUUGGAAACUGGAGAACUUGAGUACAGAGGAGGAAAGCGGAAUUCCACGUGUAGCGGUGAAAUGCGUAGAGAUGUGGAGGAACACCAGUGGCGAAGGCGGCUUUCUGGUCUGUAACUGACGCUGAGGCGCGAAAGCGUGGGGAGCAAACAGGAUUAGAUACCCUGGUAGUCCACGCCGUAAACGAUGAGUGCUAAGUGUUAGGGGGUUUCCGCCCCUUAGUGCUGCAGCUAACGCAUUAAGCACUCCGCCUGGGGAGUACGGCCGCAAGGCUG
rnacentral:rRNA from 1 species